GAGGCUCCCCGCAUACCUCAG
rnacentral:miRNA from 1 species